GAAUCAGCGUUGAUGGAGAGAGUAGGCAUGCUUGGAUCACAACAGGGAAUGGGUGUCACCGACUGCGAGCACCCUUGUGAAGCCGGAUGUUGAAGUUCACUCCAGAGCUGCGCGCUUGAAGGAGCUUUGGUUGACCAGAGCUUUGGGUAGGGCGUGCCGGUGUGUCAACACCGUUAUCUUGCAAUGAAGUGGAGUUUCGGGGCUUGGUUUGUCGUGUCCCAAACUCAAUAAGGGUGGUACCGCGAAGACCUUUUCGUCCCUUGU
rnacentral:ncRNA from 1 species